CUAACGCAGACAUCCGGAGAGGUUGCUCUCGGCUCUGUCCGUGUGGCAUACGGGAGUGUAGGCCUUCGGGCUCCAUGACGUAUAGUCCCCUUCCACAAUGUUGGAGAACAAGCCGGGCCUCUGGUCUGCAGCCUGCAUAUUCCUAUGGCUUCUCUGAGUCUUUGGACCAUGACAGAGGAGACAAACCAUGCAGGAAACAGCA
ensembl:snoRNA SNORA73 Small nucleolar RNA SNORA73 family